GGGUUAUAUUGGUCAAGGGAAAAAUAAAUAAUCCUCAUUGAUGAAAUACAGAAUUCAUUAUAUAGUCAAGUAAUUUAUAUGUAAAGGUUAUCAUAGUUUACAAACCAAAUAAUUCGCUUUCCGUCAUUAUAUUGACGAUAUCUAAAUUAACUCAAUUUUAACUCCCCUCUGCGGAUUCUAGGUGGGAAAUUACGGAAUGUUUAUUUUCAUAAGAGAGACGACUGAGGUUCGAUUGAAGAGACAUUCUUGAACGUAAAUGUAUCUGCAAGGCCAGACGAACAACCUGACGCUAAGGAUAUACUGCUGCUCCCGGACGAGGCCCAAAUCCCUGUCAUUCGCAUGAAGAGGAGACUGAGAUCCAGAGGCUGCAGAUCCGGAUGCCUUGUGAGAAUUUGUCGGCGACUGGGUAACCCGCCUGUACCAUCCGUCCUAUUGGCCGACAUGCAAUCACUGGAGAAUAAACUGGAAGAGCUCCGUUCAAGACUAUCCUACUAACGGGACAUUAAAAACUGUAAUAUCACAGAGUUGUGCCCGAACGACGACAUGGAUAAUAUACAGUUGGCUAGGUUUUCCGUGCAUCAGCCAGACACAACAGCUACCCCGGGUAAGACAAGGGGAGGGGUGGUCUGGGUCUAUUUGUCAGUAACAGCUGGUGUGCGAUCUCUAAUAUUAAGGAAGUCUCAGGCCGGAGUGGCGGCAAUGGGAACAAGUGGAACUACGCCCUACUGGUGCCCAUGAUUGACCUACCUGCCUUCCGUAAGUACUGUAUUACAUAUACACAAGCUGCAUGCUCAAGGACCUCUGCAGGAGCACAGAGCAGCUUGUCUGUUGACUAGACAUAAGUUAAUUACGUGUAACGUUGCUGACUCAACAUUACUUUGCUAUGAGAAGGCCACUGUGCUCAGUUUACAGACAUCCAUUUUAGGCCAAUGAAUAUGUACUGUACUGUUGAUGUCUUAUUAAAUGCAUUAACUAUCUAAAUGCACUUCCUGCAAUCCAAGAUUGGCAUGUCAGAUGACAAAUGUUCCUUACUCUCAUUUGGUAAGAUAAGGUCUGAACAAGUGGCAACAUUCCAUAACUUGUAAGGCACAGGUAAAAGACAACAAGCAGGGAGUCACAGAGGGAGGUCCAACAAGUGCUUUCAGGCUAUCCGUGAUGACAUUGAGCUGAAGUACAAGGAGACACUGAGAGAGAACCGACGGAAGACGGUCCACCUGGAGGAGAAGAACCACGUGCAGGGCUACCGCCAGACCAUAGCCUCCCAGAGCCAGGAGCAGGAAUCCCUGACUGGAACAAUGUGAAGAGGGGGUUGUUCUCUGCCCACUUCAUUUUAUGGAUAAAGAAUCUGCCAUGAAAAAUAAACAAAGGAACAAUGAAAGUUAAAUCAGGGUCCAUAUCAUUUGGAUCAAAAUAAAACAUAAUAUCAGAGUCUUUCAAAUUAACAUUAAUAAUCGUUUCUUUUCAAAUAAAAUAUUCAAACUCACUGCGAGAUCUUCUGAUACAAGAACAGUCCCAAAAUAAAUGGUCAAGAGUCUCUGGGUCACAACCACAAUAUACACAUUUGUUAUCAAUAGCUAUUUUGAAUCUGUGUAUAAUAAAGGACUUCACAGGAUAGAUUCUAUGAAUGAAUUUGUAUGAUACUUCUUUCACCUUAUUAGAUAUACUAUAUUUGCCAGACAACAACAAGACUUUGUUCCAGUUCCAGUCCACUUGUCCUAGGGCUGCAUUCCAGUAUAUUCUAGUAGAGGGAAUAGUAGGCCGUCAUUGUAAAUAAUAAUUUGUUCUUAACUGACUUGCCACGGUAAAUAAAGGUUAAAUAAAACAUUUUUAAAAACAUCUUGAUAUAGAAGUGUAUGGAUGUGUUUGUUUAGUCAUUUCACCAGUAGGUGUCAAUGUUGUAUUAUUUGCUGGAGAGGAUACAAACUGUCCCAAAAUGUUUCGUCUUGAAACAAUGAGAGAAAAUGGCAGCCCUGUGACAAAAUAGACACCCAGGAAGAAAAAGAUGGCGGAAGUGGAUGCUGAGUUCGAAUCAAACCAAUAUGCCAUAGAAGAAGAAGAGGAAGAUCCGGAAUUGAUGAUGGAAUCGCUGAUGACAGUUCAGAUGAAGAGCCACCUCUUAAGUCCAGGAAACCAAUAAUGGAUGAGCUCCUGAAAGACUGAAGAAACUUCUGGAUAGGAUCCUUCAUCUCAAUUUCCACCUAAAAUGUCAUACCUAAAUCUAACUGCCUGUAGCUAGGUACCUGAAGCAAGGAUAUGCAUAUUCCUGAUACUAUUUGAAAGGAAACACUUUGAAGUUUGUGAAGAUGUGAAGUGAAUGUAGGAGAAUAUAACAACAGAUCUGGUUAAAGAUAAAACCAACAAAAAAACA